rnacentral:rRNA from 1 species
GAUGAACGCUGGCGGCGUGCGUAAUACAUGCAAGUCGAGCGAAUGGAUUAAGAGCUUGCUCUUAUGAAGUUAGCGGCGGACGGGUGAGUAACACGUGGGUCACCUGCCCAUAAGACUGGGAUAACUCCGGGAAACCGGGGCUAAUACCGGAUAACAUUUUGAACCGCACGGGUCGAAAUUGAAAGGCGGCUUCGGCUGUCACUUAUGGAUGGACCCGCGUCGCAUUAGCUAGUUGGUGAGGUAACGGCUCACCAAGGCAACGAUGCGUAGCCGACGUGAGAGGGUGAUAGGCCACGCUGGGACUGCGACACGGCCCAGGCUCCUACGGGGGGCAGCAGUAGAGAAUCUUCCGCAAUGCACGGAAGUCUGACGGAGCGACGCCGCGUGAGUGAUGAAGGCUUUCGGGUCGUAAAACUCUGUUGUUAGGGAAGAACAAGUGCUAGUUGAAUAAGCUGGCACCUUGACGGUAGCUAACCAGAAAGCCACGGCUAACUACGUGCCAGCCGCCGCAGUAA